rnacentral:rRNA from 1 species
GGCGAACGCUGGCGGCGUGCCUAACACAUGCAAGUCAGGGAGAAUAGGGUAGCAAUAUCCUUAGUAAACCGGCGAACGGGUGAGUAACACGUAGAUAAUCAACCUUGAAGUUGGGGACAACCUCGCGAAAGCGGGGCUAAUACCGAAUGACACAACCGGUUCUUAUGGAUUGGUUGUCAAAGCUUCCGAGCGCUUCAAGACGAGUCUGCGUCCGAUUAGCUAGUUGGUGAGGUAAUGGCUCACCAAGGCUACGAUCGGUAGCCGACCUGAGAGGGUGAUCGGCCACACUGGGACUGAGAUACGGCCCAGACUCCUACGGGAGGCAGCAGUGAGGAAUAUUGGUCAAUGGACGAAAGUCUGAACCAGCAACGCCGCGUGAGGGAUGAAGCACCAAGGUGUGUAAACCUCUGUUAGAGGGGACGAACGAUCCCGAUCUUCGGGAUGUGACGGUACCCUCAGAGAAAGCCCCGGCUAACUCCGUGCCAGCAGCCG